UACGGAGGGGGCUAGCGUUGUUCGGAAUUACUGGGCGUAAAGCGCGCGUAGGCGGCUUUGUAAGUUAGAGGUGAAAGCCCGAAGCUCAACUUCGGAAUUGCCUUUAAGACUGCACCGCUAGAAUUGUGGAGAGGUAAGUGGAAUUCCGAGUGUAGAGGUGAAAUUCGUAGAUAUUCGGAAGAACACCAGUGGCGAAGGCGACUUACUGGACACAUAUUGACGCUGAGGUUCGAAAGCGUGGGGAGCAAACAGG
rnacentral:rRNA from 1 species